CUACGGGUUGCACCAGUGAGGAAUAUUGGUCAAUGGGCGAGAGCCUGAACCAGCCAAGUCGCGUGAAGGAAGAAGGAUCUAUGGUUCGUAAACUUCUUUUGCAGGGGAAUAAAGUGCAGGACGUGUCCUGUUUUGUAUGUACCCUGAGAAUAAGGAUCGGCUAACUCCGUGCCAGCAGCCGCGGUAAUACGGAGGAUCCGAGCGUUAUCCGGAUUUAUUGGGUUUAAAGGGUGCGUAGGUGGUUUAAUAAGUCAGCGGUGAAAGUUUGCAGCUUAACUGUAAAAAUGCCGUUGAAACUGUUAGACUUGAGUGUAAAUGAGGUAGGCGGAAUGCGUGGUGUAGCGGUGAAAUGCUUAGAUAUCACGCAGAACUCCGAUUGCGAAGGCAGCUUACCAAGCUACAACUGACACUGAAGCACGAAAGCGUGGGGAUCAAACAGGAUUAGAUACCCGUGUAGUC
rnacentral:rRNA from 1 species